GAUGAACGCUGGCGGCGUGCCUAAUACAUGCAAGUCGAGCGGACCGGAUUGGGGCUUGCCUUGAUUCGGUCAGCGGCGGACGGGUGAGUAACACGUGGGCAACCUGCCCGCAAGACCGGGAUAACUCCGGGAAACCGGAGCUAAUACCGGAUAACACCGAAGACCGCAUGGUCUUCGGUUGAAAGGCGGCCUUUGGGCUGUCACUUGCGGAUGGGCCCGCGGCGCAUUAGCUAGUUGGUGAGGUAACGGCUCACCAAGGCGACGAUGCGUAGCCGGCCUGAGAGGGUGACCGGCCACACUGGGACUGAGACACGGCCCAGACUCCUACGGGAGGCAGCAGUAGGGAAUCUUCCGCAAUGGGCGAAAGCCUGACGGAGCGACGCCGCGUGAGCGAAGAAGGCCUUCGGGUCGUAAAGCUCUGUUGUGAGGGACGAAGGAGCGUCGUUCGAAGAGGGCGGCGCGGUGACGGUACCUCACGAGAAAGCCCCGGCUAACUACGUG
rnacentral:rRNA from 1 species